GAUGAAGAACGCAGCGAAAUGCGAUACUUGGUGUGAAUUGCAGAAUCCCGUGAACCAUCGAGUCUUUGAACGCAAGUUGCGCCCGAAGCCAUUAGGCCGAGGGCACGCCUGCCUGGGCGUCACACGCCGUUGCCCCCCCAUCUACUCCUUCGGGAUUGCGGGGGGCGGAUGAUGGCCUCCCGUGCGCCUCGUCGCGCGGUUGGCAUAAAUGCCAAGUCCUCGGCGACACACGCCACGACAAUCGGUGGUUGCGAAACCUCGGUUGCCCGUCGUGUGCGGUCGUCGCGCAUCGAGGGCUCGAAAAAAUUGCCGGGCUCCGGCUCGGCUUUCAACGCGACCCCAGGUCAGGCGGGGUUACCCGCUGAAUUUAAGCAUAUCAAUAAGCGGAGGA
rnacentral:misc_RNA from 1 species